GGUUCUGUGGUGUAAUGGUUAGCACUUUGGACUCUGAACCCAACGAUCCCGAGUCCAAGUCUCGGCAGGACCA